rnacentral:tRNA from 1 species
GCCUCCGUGGUGUAAUAGUCAGCACACUCGGCCCGAAUCGAGAGGUCUGUGGUUCGAGUCCCGGCCAGGGCA